UACCCGCUGAACUUAAGCAUAUCAAUAAGCGGAGGAAAAGAAACCAACAGGGAUUGCUCUAGUAACGGCGAGUGAAGCAGCAAUAGCUCAAAUUUGAAAUCUGGCGUCUUCGACGUCCGAGUUGUAAUUUGUAGAGGAUGCUUCUGAGUAACCACCGACCUAAGUUCCUUGGAACAGGACGUCAUAGAGGGUGAGAAUCCCGUAUGCGGUCGGAAAGGUGCUCUAUACGUAGCUCCUUCGACGAGUCGAGUUGUUUGGGAAUGCAGCUCUAAAUGGGAGGUAAAUUUCUUCUAAAGCUAAAUAUUGGCCAGAGACCGAUAGCGCACAAGUAGAGUGAUCGAAAGAUGAAAAGCACUUUGGAAAGAGAGUUAAAAAGCACGUGAAAUUGUUAAAAGGGAAGGGAUUGCAACCAGACUUGCUCGCGGUGUUCCGCCGGUCUUCUGACCGGUCUACUCGCCGCGUUGCAGGCCAGCAUCGUCUGGUGCCGCUGGAUAAGACUUGAGGAAUGUAGCUCCCUCGGGAGUGUUAUAGCCUCUUGUGAUGCAGCGAGCGCCGGGCGAGGUCCGCGCUUCGGCUAGGAUGCUGGCGUAAUGGUCGUAAUCCGCCCGUCUU
rnacentral:rRNA from 1 species